rnacentral:lncRNA from 1 species
GGCCGUCCCGCGGGGCCGGGAGGCGAUGUCCGGCCGGCAGCCGGGGAGGAGGGACGGAGGGAGGGAGCGAGCGAGCUAGCUGCGGCCGGCCGGAGCGCGGCUGCCGGAGGAGGGCACGGCGCCUCGGCCCCGGCUCCGCUCGUCGCACCCCAGCGCUGCCAGCUCCAGAAUCGUGGCUGCGCCCCUGGCAGCCCCUCAUCGGGGCCGUAAGGACAAAGGAAAUUGAAAGUUUUGUCCUGUUUCCUCCCCGGGUGAACGCGCUCUUCUCACACCCUCCGCUUCAGGCGUUUUUGAAAUUUCUUACGUAAAGGCUCAAAGUAUAAAGAAGAGGCAUGUUUUUCCUUCAUGCAAACCGUGCUAUCUGUGCUUUGUGCCCCACUUGGCGAAAGAGGUCUGGGAAAUGGCAUGGAUGCGUGUUUUCAGUGCUUCAGGGAGGUGGCAGUAAUUCAGGUUUUCAAGAGGUCAAGGAGGCAUGUGUCAGACUUGCAGCUUGAAGAGGUUAACUUCUCCAAGCUUUGCCAUUAUUCUUAAAACAUCUUGAAACAAAAAAGAAAGGAUGUCAUACUAGGAAGAGUGUAAGAAAAAGCUCUGUGAGAUCAGGCUGCUGGGAAAAGCUUGAAAGAAAACCAGGAGCUCUCUGAAACAGAAAGAAAUUAAGUAAUCCUGAAUCUUUGGAAAUGAAAAAAAGAAAACCAGAAUUCUUCAGCAAGAGCAGGGGGAAGGGCUUUUAAACAGAGCCUGUAACAAAGACAACUGCAGAGGGGAUUGCAAAAGCUCUGACAAAUGAAGCAACCCUGCUCAAUCAAAAGCAGGAGUGAGCAGCAGCACGCCAGAGGCCCAAAGGCUGCUGGUGCUUCACGACAAGCUGCAGCAGAGGCCACACGGCCACCCUGCUAGAGGAGUUGUGCAAACCCUCCUGGGUGUGUUAACCUGCCUGCCAAGGAGCCACAAGACUCAGCAGAUAAAUGCCCUAAUGUGUGGGGUAGGAGAUGGGACAAUGCAAUUGUUACCAUCUGUGUGUCCCUGUGCUAAUGUGAGGAAAGGAGAAGGUUUGCAAGGAAAAGGAUGUGCUUGAUUUCUUCUCGAUGAUAGGCAGAGUUUGUGUCUAGCACCACUUACAAAGAUUGCCUGCUGCAACAGGAAAACAAGCAGAAGAAAGGAUUUAUUUUUUUUUUUAACAAGAGUUGUUCAGUGCUGUUUAUGUGGUUGUGAAGAAAAGUUUUAUCAGUUCAGCUAUCCCAGGGAAAAAGUUCUUCUGUGUUGUUGACCAAUGGUGAAAAGAUCAUGUAAACCAGCAGAAGAUAAAACAUUUCCAGUAACACUGUGAGGUAAAAAUAAAAGUGAAAAAAAU